GAUUGACGCUGCGGCGUCUAUACUGCAAAGUCGAGCGGACAGAUGGGAGCUUGCUCCCUGUGUUAGCGGCGGCGGACGGGUGAGUAACACGUGGUAACCUCGCCUGUAAGACUAGGAAUAACUCCGGAAACCGGGGCUAAUACCGGAUGGUUGUCUGAACCGCAUUGGUUCAGAACAUAAAAGGUGGCUUCGGCUACCACUUACAGAUGGACCCGCGGCGCAUUAUCUAGUUGGUAACGCUCACCAAGGCGACGAUGCGUAGCCGACCUGAGAGGGUGUAAGCCCACACUGGGACUGAGACACGGCCAAACUCCUACGGGAGGCAGCAGUGGGAA
rnacentral:rRNA from 1 species